UGGGUUAAAGGCCUGCACCACCACACC
rnacentral:piRNA from 1 species